GCUCCGGUCGUAUAGUCCGGUCAAGUAUACUGGCCUUUCGAGCCAGUGACCCGGGUUCAAAUCCCGGCCGGAGCACCA
rnacentral:tRNA from 3 species